rnacentral:lncRNA from 1 species
AGCAUGGUUUUAAAUCGCGGUCGCGGCCACGUUCGCGGUCGUGGUCGCGGGUAACGGAAACAGACCUAUAACGGCCGUAACGUAACGGUAACGGCCUGGCGCUACGCAAAUUUUUUAAAAAAAUUUACAAAGUUCAUAAAUAAAAUGAUAUUAAUUAGAUUUAAUUUAGAACAAUGUAUACAAAUGCAUAAUAAACAUAAAUAUAUAAAAUAUAGAUUAUUCAACUUAAAUUAAACAUCAUAUAGUUUAGAAUAAGAAAAAUCAACAUAAUCUUUAUAGAUCGAGUAAACUAAUAGCUCAAAGUAUAAUUUUAACUCAAAACUAACGCUUUAAUCCACAAAAACUUACAAAAAAAAGGGAAAAAAAACAACAAUUAAAAACUAAAAUAGAUAAAAUUGAACUAACUUUUUAGAAGAAAUAAGCUUGGAAAUAGAAUAGUUUAUAAUGGAUCUAAGUUUAUAUGAGAAAUAUGCAAGGAAGAUUGAAAUUUGAAAGAGAAAAGGAAGAGAAAACUUUAAAAAUAUAGUCUUUAAAGCUGCUAAAAAGUGUAGAAACUAAUGAAAAUGAGAAUAGGGAGAAAAAAUAAAAGAUAUAAAAGAAUUUUAAUUAUUGGUAACGGCUGUUACCGUUACGUAACGACCGUAACGGCCGUUACGCAUGCAAAUCAGGAGGGGCCGUUAUAUAACGGGAUAACGGGUAACGGCCCCCCCAAAACCCGUUACAUAACGGCCGUUACGUAACGUAACGGCCGUUAUUUAAAACCAUGA